rnacentral:rRNA from 1 species
UCCCUACGGGGGGCAGCAGUGAGGAAUAUUGGUCAAUGGUCGGGAGACUGAACCAGCCAAGCCGCGUGAGGGAUGAAGGUACAGAGUAUCGUAAACCUCUUUUGUCAGGGAACAAAGGCGGGGACGUGUCCCCGGAUGAGUGUACCUGAAGAAAAAGCAUCGGCUAACUCCGUGCCAGCAGCCGCGGUAAUACGGAGGUGGCAAGCGUUGUCCGGAUUUAUUGGGCGUAAAGCGAGUGCAGGCGGGUCCAUAAGUCUGAU